AUACGUAGGGGGCGAGCGUUGUCCGGAAUUACUGGGCGUAAAGAGCACGUAGGCGGCUAUAUAAGUCAGGUGUGAAAAACCUGGGCUUAACCGAGGGUAUGCAUCUGAAACUAUAUAGCUUGAGUCAAGGAGAGGAGAGCGGAAUUCCUGGUGUAGCGGUGAAAUGCGUAGAGAUCAGGAAGAAUACCAGUGGCGAAAGCGGCUCUCUGGACUUGAACUGACGCUGAGGUGCGAAAGCGUGGGGAGCAAACAGGAGUAGAUACGCGGGUAGUCCACGCCGGAAACGAUGGAUACUAGGUGUGGGUGAGGAAUCAGCCGUGCCGGAGUUAACGCAAUAAGUAUCCCGCCUGGGGAGUACGGCCGCAAGGUUGAA
rnacentral:rRNA from 1 species